rnacentral:rRNA from 1 species
UACGAAGGGUGCAAGCGUUACUCGGAAUUACUGGGGGUAAAGCGUGCGUAGGUGGUUUGUUAAGUCUGCUGUGAAAGCCCCGGGCUCAACCUGGGAACUGCAUUUGAGACUGCUCUGCUCGGGUGCGGAAGAGGGAAGCGGAAUUUCCGGUGUAGCGGUGAAAUGCGUAGAUAUCGGAAGGAACACCAGUGGCGAAAGCGGCUUCCUGGUCCGACACCGACGUUCAGGCACGAAAGCGUGGGGAGCAAACAGG